CUUUCUUGGAAGCAUUUUAUGACUCUUAUUUCUGUUAUCAACACAGCUUUUAUUUAUGUCUCCAUGUAUCCUUUGAAGAAACACAACUUUUCAGGUUCUAUGUUUUAUUUGCAUUCUUAGUGUCUGGCACAUUGUCUGACACAGUGUAAAAGCUGAGUAGAAUUUUGCCUGAUAGCAGAUGUGCCUGAAGUGAGGGUGUCCAAAAUUUCAUUAAAUGACGACUGCUUUAAUAUGAAUUCUUGGCUAAGGCAGGAGAAUCGCUUGAACCCAGGAGGCAGAGGUUGCAGUGAGCCGAGAUCACACCACUGCACUCCAGCCUGGUGAGAGAGGGAGACUGCAUUCUCAAAAAAAAAAAAAAAAAAAAAAAAAAAAAAAAAAAAGAAUAUAUAUGAAUUCUUACUGAUAGUAUUAAAUGAUUAUCUCUUUACAUUCACAGUAAUGUCUUACAAUAACAGAAUGCAGGAGAGCACAUAUCAAUGAAGAAAAGACAAAAUGUACUUAUCCAUGAAGCUGAGGUUAAGAAACCAGUGUCUUCAAGAGCCAGGGACAGCACUGGGUCUGUGCAGAGUUGAGAGAUGGUGAUGACAUGUGGUUUCCAGCAUUCCUCACCCAGUCCAGGGACACUGUGGGUGUGCCCAGCUUAAGUCCAGUAACUGGAAAUACAAGCCCAAGUUCUGGAGAGUUUGAGCUGCAGAGAUAUAUAUGGGAACACUUUGAAUCUUGACUCAUUGGCCAUAACCAGCAGAGUGGAAAAUACAAGAAGAGAAAAAAACAUUGAACUGCGAUUUUAUAACAUCCUUUACUAGGCAGAGAGAAGAGGAAACACCAGGAAAGAAAACUGUAUUACGAUGUGAAAACUUAAUGUUGAGAAAUUCAGGCAUCUUGGGGUUAGUGAGGAGAAGUUUUAGGGGCUUAGAUUCUUCUAAACACAUGUACAGAAAUGCAUAUUUCAUCUGAUAUCAAAUGGCAUUUAUAGUGCUAAUCUUUACCUCAAGACUUCACAUCUUUUGGUGAUUGCAUCUUUUAGGUUUAUAGCAGCUAAGUUUGCAUGAAAACACCAGGGCUGUUUCAUUUCAGUCAAGAAUUAAUGUUCAUUGAUUGUGCUUCUGCAUUUCAUGUAACUAUUGUAGAAUUUGUUUUAGUUUUAUGAGGGAAUAAUUGUUCCAACUUCUAUAUAACUCAGGAAUUUACUCUCAAACAACACUGUCAAUUAGUUACUUAUCUCUCUGGAAAUGAUCUGGGAACAUGGAGAGGAAAGGGAGGAAGGGGCAAAAUCUGACCACUUAAAUCUAAGCAUAUUAGAUCAUUUUAUGCUAGAAAGUCCUGAAUGAUGUGACUUUCGUUCUUGUAAAACACCUCUUUCCAUAGAUUCAUGGCCCAAACAGUAUAUAAAGAGUGGGGAAGGAACUGCAUUUGCAAAUAGUUCAAAUCAUUGCUCCAUCUUAACUACGCAGUUCACAAAGUGUGAAGAAAUGUGAUCAUCUCAAAAAAGAUAAUGGGGAAAAAAUAUGUUUUGUUCUGUGACUUUAAAGUCUUGCAAUAUUUUACAUAAAUGAUAAUGGGUGCUUUAAUAAGAACUCUUGAUACUUUUGUUAUUGUAUUCAAUAUAUGCAUAUAAUACAACAGGAUGAUAUUGUUUUGGAUUUGGAAAUGUAUUCUUUCUUAUGCAAUCUUAUGCAGUCAUACUGCUUGAAUAUCAUUACCUGAAUUUAUCUUUCUUUUUUUUGUUGUUGUUUUACACUCUACUUAUUUGGUGCCUGUCAGUCUUUUGUCGUCAGUUUAUAUUCUACUAAACUCAAAAAGACAAUCUCAUACCUUUUGUAAUUGUAGGCAUUCUUUACUAGAUUUUUAAAUACACUUCAAAAAUUCAAGUACUUUGAUUUCAUGCCAUCAAGUAGCUGAAUCUAUCCCCCCGUCUCUUUUUAAAUUUAAGUGAGUAGUUCAAUUUCUGUCACUUUCUACUUUGUGAAUUCUAAAUCUUUUAAAACCAUCUUGCCAUUUUUCGUGCACUUACCCUUACAGAAAACUCUGUGAAACACUACUUAUCUCUACUUUUAUGUUUUUAACUCCUUUUUUAUAUUACUAUUCCCUCUGCUUUCUAAAUGCACAUAUUAAUUUGUUCUUUUUAUUCUCUGUAGCUCUUCUCAGUGUAUGAAUUCAGUUUCCCAUCAGUCUCCAUACAAUUAAAAAAAAGUUGAGUAUUCUGUUAUUUUAAUAAGAUAUCUAGUGCCCAUAUUCUAAUUCUGCCCCUUAUUUUUAAUAUAAUUUUAUUGUUGAUUUAAAAUGACAACAGUUUCAAUUCCCAGAAAGUGAAAGGAAACAAAGGAAUAAUAUUAUAGGCUUAAUUUUUAUCAGUGAACUUGUAGGUGAAGAAAAGAUUUGGGGAAGGAAAUGAACAUAUUAUAUUGCAAAAUAGUAAGGAACAAUCAGAUGUGUUUUCUAGUCUCUGGAAAAGCAUGUUUCAAGAAAUUCAAUGAAAAGUUCAUCAUGCUUGCUUAGAUUGUUGAGAAGCAAAAACACUGAUGAACAUUUGGAAGCAAUGAGAAUGUAAUUCUAAUCAUACUCUUUUAAUAAUGUUGCAAAACUCUCCAAACACUACUCUGUGUGGAUGUCUUUCAGAAUAUGAUGAAUACUAGUAGUCUUAUUCUGCCCUUUUCUCUCUAUCACAAUAUAUACAUUCUAUAUUGCAUACACAUAUUUUCCAAAUAUUACAUAUAAUUUCAUGUAAUUUAUAGACCUAUUAAGGCCCAACCAUUUUCUUGGAUAGGGGAUUCUUUAGAAGUCCAGCUUAAAUAAAGCCCGUAUAGAAAGUUUUUUUAAAAUUUAUACAUAAUCACCUAAAGUAACCUUAUCUACUGAACUCUUAGUACAUGCUACUGGAACCUUUUAUCAUGUUUCUUCCUGGCUUGCAUUACAACACUGUUGACAUAUCUCAGCCUUACUUCUAGGCUUCUUUGAGAGCAUGACUCAUGUUUGUAUUCCUCACUGAGGUUGAAUGAAUAAGAGAAACUACAGUAGUAGGAAAAAACAGUACAUGUACAUAUCAAUGAAUAUGAAAGGGUCAAAUGGAUCUAUUAUAGUAAGCACAAAAUCAACUGACACCAGCAAAGUAAACCCAAAAUUUUUAAUGGUAUUUUAAUAGAUCAAGAGGAGCAAGCAGAUUUUUGAGACAGUUGUCUCCUACUUUCUCUAUCACAGGGAGUAAUUUUAAAAGAAAAAUGGAGGGUAAGUUUCUUUAAGAGAAAAUUGUAGUUUAAAACAGGUCAUGGGAUAAUUAGAAAUAAUUUAAUUUCUUUAGAGGAUUUUAAUCUUUCAACUGCUUGCAAUUAGAUCCUAAGGCAAUAAAAGAAUAAGGAGAUUUGGAAAACCAUUGUCUGUAAUCUCUGAAGAAAAGUGGACAUUAGGGGAGUCAGUUGAAAAGCAAAGCUAUCACCAUUUUCUAAAGAGGAAAAAGGUGAACCUCACAAACUAUAGACCAAAAAAAUAGGACAUCGAGAGAAAGAAUAUGAAGCUAGCAUAGGUUCACAAAGAAUGAGUCAAAUCAAACAACAUGCAUUUUUUAUUUAUAAAGCAUGACUUGUUCAUUGUCAAUUCAUGUUAGCUUAAUCAUUAGGCAUUAAUGCCAUCACUGCAAUGCAUAUGUCAGCAAUAAAUAAUCAAAGACCAGGCUUCCAUCAUUCUGUUUAAUAUCUUCAAGUAAUGCUUAAGUUUGCAAAUGCUCUUUUAACACAUUCUCCAUAUGCAGCCUGCCCAGCACUGCACACAAUAGACCUGUUACUUCCCCCUCACGAGCACUCCUAAUAUUUCAUGUGCUCAUCCAAUUGACUUCUCCCACUGGUGCCUCAUAUUGAAUUUGUAGAAUCACACCUGCUCCUUUUUCAAAACUCUUCUGAGUUUUUUCUUAAAUAAUUCACUGACCCCAAAGUUGUCAGAUAUUUGAAGACUACUCGCACAAUUUUAAUAUUAUAAAUGUAUAAUGUAAAUGUAAUUAAGAUUUGUAUAAUGUACGAUGUACUUUGGUAAAUAAAAGUAUGCUGUGAAUAAAUACGUAUGAUACAAUUCAAAAUUUUACAUAAAUAUGUGAUAAAAUUUAGCUCAUAUUCUUUUUUUUUUUCUUUGAGACGGAGUCUCACUCUGUUGCACCCAGGCUAGAGUGCAGCAGCAUGAUCUCAGCUCACUGCAACCUCUACCUCCUGGGUUCAAACAAUUCUCCUGCCUCAGCCUCCUGAGUAGCUGGGAUUACAGGUGCCCGCCACCAUGCCCAGCUAAUUUUUUUCUAUUUUUGUUGUUGUUGUUGUUUUUAGUAGAGACGGGGUUUCACCAUGUUGGUCAGGCUGGUCUUGAACUCCUGACCUCAGAUAAUCCACCUGCCUCGGCCUCCCAAAGUUCUGGGAUUACAGACGUGAACCACGGUGCCCGGCCUAGUUCAUGUUCUUUAAGGACAAUUAUGAAUAUUUUUAUGCACUGUUAAUUUUCAUUAAGAUAUUGAUCAAUUAAUAGCUAUAUAUGUUCUAUAAAUUAAUCCUAUCUAGUUUCAAUCUUAAAUUGUUUGCAUAUACCAAUCUAGUUUAUUGUUUGCAUAUAUUUUAUAGUGUAGAGAUUAGGCAUUUUAAUAAAAUUUUAAAAUUUCCAGGACAUACUGUUAAUGACUAUGCUUCCUACUAUAGGCCAUAAUUAAUUUUUUUCUAUUGUCAACAAUAUUUUGGUAGGGAUGAUCAGGAAAUAAGGAAAUGUUUCCUUCAUUUGUUAACAAUAGGUGUUUGGGGAUUUUAAAAUGAAAAUUGAAGAAGUAAAAGACACCAUAUAUUUAGUUUGUUUGAUUUCGUGGCUUCAAGAGUUCAAUAAUUUAUUGAAAUAUUUUACAGACCAAAGAACAACAGAUAUAUUACGUUUAUAAGCCCCCACAUAUUUUAAAGGAUAAUGGUUUAUAUAUGAAAAUUCCCUGAACCUACACUUCAUCAGGAAAAGCUAAAUAAAAGAAGUUUACAUUUCCUAGGACUAAUGGAGAUUUAUUUCCCAGUCCUCUUCUCUGGAGACAAAUGUAGGUCUCUCUUGAAAAGCAGAAAGUUUUGCAUAUGAGGUAUGAUUUAGUGGGCUAGAAACAUCUUUUCCACCCUCCCCAAAAUGUUUCACUAUGUUUUAUCAUACUAUCUGAUAAUUUUGCACUAAAGUUUUCUUUCUGUGUUAAGAAAAUGCAAAUAUCUCUGAAUGGGUCUCUUUGCUUUAGUCAUACUCAUAUGGCUACUACUGAACAAAAUAUGUUCAUUACAGGAUGAAGGGAAUGUUGCCAGCCAGCAAAUCCCUAGAGUUUGCACUACACCAAACGUUGCUUAGCAAUUUCCACGAUUUUCUCAGUCUAAUUUGCAAGAAUCAAGGAGAUGUUUGUGUAUGCUACAUGAAGUUGUAAAAUUGGUAUUUAUUGUAUGUUUCUAUAUCGAAAGCUUUACAAACAAAGGAAAUGGAAAGUUAACAGGUGGAUAUGAUAGUGUGGCACUACUUUAGCUGGAUGGUAAGGGAGAGCUUCUCUUAGGAAGUGUUUUAGGCCAGGACUUGAAUAAUGAACAGUAUCUAGUUGUACAAAAAUCUGGAGGAAAGACUUUUCAGGCCCAGGAGAAAUGAAAAUUCUUUUCAUGCAUACAAGAAUGAAAGUGAAAAUUACCUACUCUAUGUCCUGAAGUGGGAAGUUGGCUUGCCAGAGAGUAGGUAAUUUUCACUUUGAUUCUUUCAUGCCUUCAGUUAUACUACUUCUUAGGUUAGUUCAUAAGGGUUUCCACAAUUUGGUUCCCACUUAAAAUUUAAAACUUCCCUAACCCAUUCCCACCAUAUAUUGUGCUAAUCCAUGCAUAUGUGACUUUGCGUAUGCUGUUUUCAUUGUUUAAUAUUCUUCUCAUGCAUUCGUUCUUUCCUGAUAACGAACUCAUCUUUGAAACUCCCCUUCAAGCAUCCUCUACUUUAGGAGGCCGCUUCUCACUGUCUCCUGCCUACCACCCAUUGAAUUGUUCAAUUUUUAAGCUGCCAUUGUCUUGUGCAGUUGACACAUUUCUUUGCAAUUACUGAUUUACAUGUCUGCUUUUAUCACUGGUGAGGUUCUUUAGGACAGAGACAUUAUUAAUUCAUCUCUGGGCACAUAUGUUCCAACAUAUUAGAAGUACUACAGAGUGCUAUUACUAUGUAGUAUGUAGUAUUAGUAGUAGUUACUCACAAAUCAUUUUUAAAUAAGUGAUUAUAAUAUCUUUUUGUUAUUAUGAUUUAACACAAGAUGGAAUUUAUUUUCAGAAGUUUCCAUGAUAUAUUUGUUCUAUUUAAAAUCCAAUAGCCAUUAGAAUAUUACCAUUAUUUAAUGUAAAACAAUAAAAUAUUAAAUAUGAUCGUUCAUAUUUAAUGCAAACCGAACUCAUGGAAAUAUUGUGUAAAGAUCAAGUAAUUUUUGACAUACAAUUUUAAACUCAACUUUUCAUAUAGCAUACCUUAUGAUAUAUUUUCAGCCUACUUUUAAAUAUGUUGGCAUUGAAAGCCAGUUACUAAUUCGCUGAAUUCAUGAUUUCUUUUUAAGUUAUAGAAGUGGAAUUAUGUUUGAGAUAUUCAUUGCAUUACAUUUACCAGAACUUGAGUUCUUAACAUGGAACCUGAGAGUUUCUCCAAUUCUUAAGUCCCUGGGAGAAAUAGAUUAGCUGGAUGAGGAACUGAGAGGAAAAAUGGUCAGAGAUGUAGCAAGAGUUGGGAAGAAGGAACAAUGAUUUGCUUUCAAGGAGAUUUUUUCAUUGGUCUGUUUUCAGUGACAAACCCACUGCGAUAAUACAUGUAAAGUGAAAACAUUCAGGAAGUUCCCUUAGAAACCUCUUUUCUGGCAGUUCCUAAUUCUACAACAUUGUAUAAGUGAAAUACCAUAGUUACUGUCAUAGUAAAUUGAGCCAAGAGAAACAAGGGAGCAGGAGAAGAAAAGAAUUAAAGAGAGUUUUGUCUUUCAGUCUUCACUCUGUUUCUUCUUGCUUUUACCAGUCAUUCAGGUUUAUAUAAUUUCUUUAGAGAGGCUUCUACUAUGCAGGUCUUCCUUAAAGUCAUUGGUAUUACCUGGCAUGAUAUGUGAGCCUUUAAUAUCAGUCCCUUUAUCUCUUUAUUUUUAAAGUUUAUAUCAGUACAGAGUCCUGGAUUCUUAAUUAAUUUAAUAGGUUAGACUUUAUGCUAAUAUUCUUCAUUUUGAUGCUCAAAUUUUCCAAAAUUUGGCCAGCAGGGUUCCUUAAAGCUGGGUACCUUGCCCUUUCAACAUGUCCCUCUGAUUCUUUAUUUUUAUUUACUUAUUUAUUUAUUUAUUUAUUUAUUUAUUUAUUUAUUUAUUUAGAGACUGAGUCUUGCUCUGUCUCCCAGCCUGGAGUGCAAUGGCACAAUCUUGGCUCACUGCAACCUCUAUCUCCCAGGUUCAAGCAAUUCUCCUCCCUCAGCCUCCCGAGCAACUGGGACUACAGGCAUGUGCAACCAUGCCUGGCUAAUUUUUUUUGUAUUUUUAGUAGAGACAGGCUUUCACCAUGUUGGUCAGGCUGGCCUCGAUCUCCUGACCUCAAAUGAUCCAUCGCCUCGGCCUCCCAAAGUGCUGGGAUUACAGGCGUGAGCUGCCACACCCAGCCGUCCCUCUCAUUCUUUAAGUACUUCCAUGUUUUCUAAGGUACAAGAUGUUCCAUAUUAUUUUGUUAUUUGUCUUCCCCAGCUCUGAAAUCUGCCUUUCCUUCAAGGAGCCUUGGUUCUUUCUAGUGACAAAUUAUAUUUAGAAAGAAGAUCUGGGUAUUUGACUUGUAUAUUGCUAUUAAUUGGCCAUUGUUUCUAGUCUCUUUCAGUAGACAGAGCUAAGAAAUGUAAAAGGAAAUAUUUGAAUGUAUGUAUAUGUGAUAUAUUAAGUACAUUUAAACAUAUUAAAUUCAUGAGUUCAUACUAAUACUUUCAAUAAGCCACAAUUCCCUUUUCAUGUUUUCGAAGGAAAAAUAUCCAUUGUCUAUAUACAGUGGACAUAGAUAGUAAUAAUACUGAUCUUGAAAAGAGCAGUCUUAAAUAGAUCCCAUUAAUAGUUAAAGAUAACAUAUCUUAGAAUUCUAGAUAUUAGAGAGAUUAUCUAGAGCUGUAAUCUAGAUAUUUUAUAGAUCUUUGCUGUGCUGUUUUGAAUUUGUGUUGGAGUAGAACAAUCAGAUGACAAAAGCUCAUCCCACAUGGAAAAAUCAAAGCAUUCAUUACAGAGAGAAUUUUGAAAUAAAUGCAUAUAUAAAAAAUAUAUAUGCAUAUAUAAUGCAUAUGUAUAUGCAUAUAAAAUAUAUAUAUAUAAAAUGAGGGUUAUAAACAAUGAAGGAAAUAGUGAUACUAUCUAUGUGGGAACAAUACUAGUAUCCUCCCUUUGGAUGAAUACAGUAGCUACAGAUGCAAUUCUGGGGACUCUGUUUAGCAAUAGCUUAACUAUUGCUUGGCUACAAGCAUGGAUAACUUGUUCAAAGAUAAUGAGGAGUUGUAAAUAUUUAAAUAAACAGGAUUUGCAACAUAAAAA
rnacentral:lncRNA from 1 species